AAGUGGGUGGAGACAAAUACCAUUGUGUUUAUUAGACACUUAUGGGGGAGGAGCCAGUCACAAAAUAUAACUUGUGUUAGUCCACGGCGCACUAUUAGUGAACUAUCUGGAAUAAUAAGAACAACAACAACGCAGGGAAGGGUGAAUAUCCAUUGCUGGGAUUCUUCACCAAGAUUCAUCUUUAGCCCUUUGGAUUCUCAUACUCGGCACAGAAUUUUGGGGACCCCUUGGGGCAUCUCCUGAAUUAUCAUGGGCCUGCACUGCAUCAUGCCGCGCCUGUCCUUCAUCACCGGAGGGAAGAAAACGAAGAAGCUGCUGCGCACGGGAACCUUUAGAAAGCCACGUCAGCUACAGAGUCAGGACUACCAGACCCUCCUGGAGAAAAGCUUAGGGGGAAAACAGUUGUUUGUGGAUGAGACUUUCCCGGCCAGUUUGGCCUCCAUUGGAAGCGGACGCCUGCUGGACAAGAUCCCAGACUGUGUGGAGUGGAAAAGGCCACAUGAGCUGGUGGAGAAUCCCCAAUUCUGUACAGAAAAUGCCAGUGAAUUUGGGUUACACCAAGGCCUCACAGAGAACUGCUGGUUCCUGGCUGCGCUCUCCUCUCUGACUUUCCAUCCCGAUAUCCUGACCAAUGUUGUGCCGCAGAACCAGAGCUUUGAGGAGAAUUACAGUGGCAUCUUCCACUUUCGGUUCUGGCGGUUCGGGGAAUGGGUCGAUGUAGUGGUGGACGACCAGCUGCCUGUGAACAACGAAGGAAAACUCCUAUUUGUCUCUUCUGUCCGGGAAAACCUCUUUUGGGGCCCCCUCCUGGAGAAAGCCUACGCCAAACUGUGCGGCUCCUAUGAGGACAUGCAGAUUGGCCAAGUAUCUGAGGCUCUGGUUGAUUUCACUGGUGGGGUAAAUAUGAGCAUAAAGAUGCCACAGGCACCCCAAGACCUGUUCCAGAUCAUGAUGAGGGCUCAGAACAGCGGAUCACUAAUGGGAUGCCAAACGCAGACAGGGCCUGAAAGGGUUUUGGACAACGGACUAGUGACGGGUCACGCCUACACUGUGAUGGACCUCAGGCAAGUGUCAUGCAAAUCUGGAAUGGAGAAUUUAGUGAGGCUGAGGAAUCCAUGGGGAAAGAUUGAAUGGAAAGGAAAAUGGAGUGACAGGUGCCCCAAAUGGGAUCAGCUCAGCUACAAGGAGAGGAUUUUCCUCAGAAAGAAAAGAGAAGAUGGAGAAUUUUGGAUGUCCAUUGAAGACUUUGAAGCCCACUUUGUGGAGUUAGUGAUCUGCAAACUGACCCCAGACCUGAUGAGCCAUGAGAUUGGGAAGGAGUGGACUUUAUCUAUGCAGUGCGGCAAAUGGAGCUCCGGAAGUACGGCCGGGGGCAGGAUGACUUAUAUGGAGUCCUACUGGAUGAACCCACAGUACCGACUUAAGAUUUUCAAGGGGGACGACAUGGAAAAAUUCACAAAUUCUUGCAAUGUUCUGGUGUCCCUUCUACAGAAACAGAACCACAAACACAGGAACCAGUCCCCUCCUCUGUACAUUGGGAUGUCUGUAUUCCUGGUGCCACUUGAGUACCAAGGUGUAAGGAGGUUACCACCGAAGUUUUUCCUGACCCAGCGCCCAAUCAACAACAAAUGUGUAUUUAUUAAUGAGCGAGAAGUGACUCAGGACUAUCACUUGAUGCCUGGAUCUUACGUUAUCGUCCCUUCCACAGCUGACCCAAACCAGGAGUGUGAAUUCAUAUUAAGAGUGUUUUCUAGGAAGCACCUUCUACAAGAGCAGACAGAGAGCCCAAACAUCGUCCUUUGCUGCAAGAAAAUUGCUGAAAGACAUAGAAAUGGAGCCUGGGAAAAUGUCUUCAACAAAUACUUUGAAAGGUACCCAGAAAUCAAAGUCGCCCAACUGCAGCAGCUGCUGAACAAAGUCACAUGGACAAAUGCCAAGCAAGCGCCAGGGAAAUUCAGUUUAGACGACUGCAAACUCAUUAUUGCCCUAUUGGAUAUGAAAACAUCUGGAACCCUAAACAUGCAAGAGUUCCGAGGCCUGUGGAAGCGACUCCUCUCUUACCAGGAGAUUUUCCAAAGGAGGGACGUGGAUAAAACUGGAUAUUUAAAGCUUAAUGACCUGCAGGCUGCCAUUCAAGAAAAAGGAAUUACGUUACAACGUCAGUUCUACAACCUUGUGGCAAUGCGAUACGGUGACUCGCUCCUGAAAAUGAGUUUCGAGAAUUUUGCCUGUCUCAUGCUGAGGAUAGAGAUUAAUGAUGAAGUCUUUCACAACCUGAGCCAAGAUGGGAAAGGGAUUUAUCUGCAGGAGGCCGAGUGGAUGCUGCUUACGCUAUACUCUUGAGGAACCUACAAAUCUACGAGCUCAACAGGAUCUUCAUUGAGAAUUUGCGAAUUUUCAGUCAGACUUUUUUUUUUAUUAUUUUACUUUUUUUUUUAUUGCGCACAAGAAACAGUGAACUCUGGAGGUCCAACAUUUCAAAAUAUUUUUCUCAUAUUUUCGCAGAUGGGGCAACUCGUAUAUUUUAAAAUAUUUUAUUUAAAUUUUAUGUAUUUGCUAUAUUUAUUAUUUUUUCAUCGCCUCCAUCCAAGAAGAGCUGCAAAAGUACAGAGAAAGAGAACUUUGCACUAAGAAGAGCGGAACAAAUGGUCACAUUAUUUGCAGCCAUUUAACAAGAGGAAGAAUGCGGCGUGACAUAUAGAGGACGCCAGGACGCUCUCCAAACCGUCACGGAUGCAUUUUAAAGCUUUUAGAAGGAACCUGACGCACAGAGAAAAAUAUAACUAUGAAAAAAAAAAAUGUGAAUAUAAAAUCGGAGAUGCCAGUUUAUGUUUCUGAACUUGAAAAUGGAUUUUGUUUACAUUAACCCUUUUUACUGCUAUUUAUUUCCGCGUGUUUUCACGUGGCACCGAUUGACAUGCUGUAUUCUGUGUAUGUAUUGUUUUGAAGGAAAAGUGGAAUUCGAUUAAAUGAUAUAUUUUUUCGUAAAUGUUUGCUCUGAUAAUACUUUAGGUUAUUUUUUUAUUCUCAAUGGAAUUUAGGGUUUGAGCACUUUACAUGGCAGAGAUUUUAGAAUCCAGGGGGCAAAUUUACUAAUUUACUAAAGGGCGACGUGACUAAUGCUGGAGAAAAUGGGAGCAGGGUAACUUCGCUAGCGAAAGAGACUGACGCUGGCGCUCAUUCGCACUCAAUCGGCAGGCAAAG